rnacentral:rRNA from 1 species
GUGCCAGCCGCCGCGGUAAUACAGAGGGUGCAAGCGUUGUUCGGAAUUAUUGGGCGUAAAGGGAGUGUAGGCGGCUAGGAAAGUCUUCUGUGAAAUCUACGGGCUCAGCCUGUAACGUGCAGAGGAAACUAUCUGGCUAGAGUGUCGGAGAGGAUAGGGGAAUACCCGGUGUAGAGGUGAAAUUCGUAGAGAUCGGGUGGAACACCAGUGGCGAAGGCGCCUGUCUGGCUGACAACUGACGCUGAGACUCGAAAGCAUGGGGAGCAAACAGGAUUAGAAACCCGUGUAGUCC